CCUAGGGAACAAAGACUGAACUGGGGGGAAGUGCUGGACCCAGGCAAAAGGGCUUUCUAAUCUGUGAAAGGAACACCUGGGGUUUUUAAGCUGUAAGCAAGUGCAGCUGGCCCCUGAAGAAUCUCUGCAGCCUGCUUGAAUCAUCAUUUAGGCUCGGUCUGGCAAGGGGUCUGUCAGCAGCAAGGAGUAAUAUUGUGCUGAAACCCUGGAGGGAAAGAGUGAAGUCCCAGAAAGUGCUGAAGGAAUGGGAGAAUGUCUCUUUAAUUCCUCUGCAGCAGUGGAAAACAGUCUGCUACCAGAGGUGGGUGAGGUUGAGACUAGCUGCUACUGCCAGGUGGCUAAAGACAGGAUAAGAAUCCUACUAAAGACUUGAGUGUCAGUGAAAAUACUAAUGACUCACCUGAGAAAGGGGAGGAGGAAGCAAUUCUUCAGGCAGAGACAUACAUGAAUUGAGAACCUUUACUGAGGGGGAUACUGGAUGAAACACUAAAAGGGAAGAAAGACCAAUACCUGAAAACAUACUAUGGUUCAGGAAGAAGUUGGAGAACACAAUAAAUAUUAAACAAACCAGUCUGUCUAAACAGAUACCGUGGUAUGAUGAACAUACUGGAAACAUCUCCCUGUCAUUAAAUUGCCGGUGCUAUUAA